AAUCUGGGGGCCCGGGCCGGGGGCCGGCCGAGCUGGGUUGCGCCGGCCCGGCACUGGAGACCCGCGGCGGGUCCGGGGAGCGGCUCGCGGACUGGUUCCUCUGCCUGCCCCACCACGUGGGCGGCUGCGGGCGGCGGCCAGGGCGCGUGCUCGGUGCGGGGCUGCGGGGGCCCCCGGAGGCCAAGGGGGCGUGCCGGGGGGCCCCCGGAGGAUGCGCUCGAGGCCUGGGGCCGAAGUCUCCCGGCCGGGCUCUCGGCACGCGGACACGCCGCGCCCGAUCGCCGAGCGGCCACUGCGGGAGCCCACCCGCACCUGCUCGCGUCCUUCCGGGCGCGUCUGUCUUCCCUCCUUUGCUCCGUAAAGGACUGGAAACUAGCGCCCGCCCGGUCUCCUCCGUGGUUUUCUUGAAGGUGCCCGAGGAGGGGUUUCCCCAAAGAGAGCCUGCCCCUGGACUGCCAUCUAAUGAAUAAAUGCUGCGGAAACCAGGUCCUUAAAGCGGGAAACAGCCCAGCGAGAUCUAGAGAGAGGAGUUUGAAAUACGUGGACUUUUAAACAUAGUGAUUGGACCACGUGUCGCCUUUAAUGUGGUCCGGCUUCAUGACUCAGGCUAAUUGAUGUCAACAGUAAAUAAAAAGAAGAUGGCUAAUAAGAAUUGUGGAUGUCGAGAUGUAGAAGUGUUUGUCUCAUAAAUAAUCAGGCUGUCUGCAAGGGGAUUCAUGAGGAGCACAAAACCCAGGAUCUUGGUUACUUCCGGGAGAAGUGGAGCAAACCGCUAAGCUCAUGCAGUGUUCCUGGAGACACGUUCAUCCUCGGAUGGGCUGCUGUCUCUGCAAAUAAAUACACUUUCAGAGAUACAUCUGCCCAAGGUCCCCUACAAAGGGCCUGAGCUGAAG
ensembl:lncRNA